ACCAAGAGGGCUGCACUCACCUGAACAUGCAUACAUUAUAGGAUGUAUGCAUGUUCAGGUGAGUGCAGCCCUCUUGGU